UUAUAGUUCAUCUCCUCUAAAGUCCCCACUGAGAACUCAGCUCUUGAUUUUCAUCUGUUUCAUCCAAUUCCCCUUGUUUCUUUGUGUUAUGUUUUCUUCCCAACUAGACCAGAGGCUCCUCUAGGGCAGGAAAUAGUGAAUUUAUUUGUGCAUGUGCAUUCUCCAGGGGAGGGGGUUAGGGGAGAGGAGAGGAGAGGGGAGGCUAGAAGGGAGCUGGGAAAGGUUUGACCGUUUGAGAUUAUCUCCGAAUGAAGCUAGAUGUGCAUCCAGUUAACAGAUCACAGAAAAGAAUUUGUGCCCCCCUCCACCUCCAUUACAAGCAUUGCUUUGAUAAACUGAGCAUUGGAAAUAAACCCUACUCUUCUCUCCCUGGCUUUCAUGUCUCAGCAUACGGCCUGUGAGAAGCUCAGCCCUGGUAACGCGGUGGGAAGGGAGCAGCAGCUCACGGACCAGCAGCUGACCAGCUCACUUUUGUCUUAUUCACGUGUAGAAACUAACCAGACAGAGAGAGAACAGACAUGAAACAAUAAAAAAGAGAAUAUCAGAGUGCAUUGCUCUUAACAAGGGAUUGGCCUGGAGCUUGCUCUGGAGACCAGGCUGGCCUAGAACUACCCGCUUCUGCCUUCUCAUGCUGGGAUUAAAAGUGUGUGUCACCACGCCCAACCUUUAGGUCUUUUACUAAAUAAAAGUUUGUCUUAAAAGGAGUAUAUGCAGUGCUUUUGAUAAAUAGCACUGUUACCCACCCAUCAUUUUAGUGGACUUAUGUAUGUAAAGAACUACAUGGAAGCCUGUGCCUAUGUAUGAUGUGUGCAAGGGUAUAUGUGCACAUUCAUGUGAGCUUGUGUGUGUGUGCAUAUGUGUGUAGGCAUGAAUGUGGCACAGCUGUGUGUGGAGGGCAGAAGAGCCUCAGGUUUCAGGCCUUGCCUUCUACCUUGUUUGAGGCAGGCUAGCUGCUCAGCAGGCCUCCAGGAAUUCUCCCGUUGCAGCUUCCCAUUUGCUGUGGGAGCACUGGGCUUUCAUAGGUUCUGGGGACUCAAAGCCGGGCCCUUACGCUUGCACACAAAGUGUUUCAUUCACUGACCAUCUGCCUGGCCCCUUGGAGACUUCCAACAUAAAAGUUUUCAUUGGAUAAUGGACUCUGGGAAGAGACAGCAAAUGCUGAAACUUUCUAUCAUCUCCUGGAUUUGAAAAUGGACGAGUUGGUGAGAAAUUUGGAGGACUAGGCUGCUGCUGGUGGUGGUGAUUUGGGACUCCCGUGUGCAUGUAGCUUACAUGAAGAUGGUGCUGAACAGUGGGCAGAGUCUCGGCAUUACCAUUAGAUGGGAACAGUCACUUUUUCUGACAAUUCCAUGAUGUGCAUGCAGGCUACUGGACUGCUUGGAUUCUGAUUUCAAUUUUGUUUUUUUGUUUUGAGAUAGGGUCUCUCUAUGCAGCCCUGGAUGUUCAGGAACUCUAUGUAGACCAGGCUGGCCUGGAACUCUCAGAAAUUCCCUUGCUUCUGUCUCUGAAGUGCUGGAAUUAAAGGCGUGCACAACCAUGACUGGCCUCUUCUAGGCUUUUGAAAGGAGUUUUUGUGCUUACGAUUUAUCAAAGGAAGCAAUGUUGCAGAUGUAACAUGGCUAAGUUUAGAUUGUAUAAGUGACAUACAGAGUCACACACACACACACACACACACACACACACACACACACGAAAGAAUCUCUGGUUGUAAACUGAUACAGGUUAGUGUGUUAAUCAUCGAUGCACAAUUGGAUAUUCCUACAUGUUCAGAUGCUUCAUGCUUACCUCGUUGCAGAAGUCAAUGAAGAAUUCUUGCUUCCUCUUUCUUCUUUCUUGCUGUUUUCCUAAGAUGAGGCCUUGUUAUGGUAUCCCUGACUGCAUGGAACUCACCGUGUAGAGCAGGCCGACCCUGAUCUUACAGUGCCUCCCACCCCAGCUUCUGCCUCACAAAUCCUGGGAUAAUAAGCAUGUGUUAUCAGUCUAGCCAAAAGAGUGCUUUUGAUUCCUUUCAACAGAAGUAGAAACAAAGUUAAGAAUCCAAGAGCUGGGCAGAGUGGAUGACUCAAUUGGCAGAGUGGUCACGAGAGGACCUGAGUUGGGAUCCUCAGCAACUGUAAAACACUGGGCAUCUGUAAUUCCAGUGCAUGGGUGAGGGAAGAAGAUGGAUCCUCAGAGCUCAUUGGCUAGCCAGUCUCACUGAAUUGAUGAUCUAGCUCUCCCUGCCCAUCUCUCUCUGCUUCCUGGCACCCAAGAAGUGAGCUAGUUUAACGCUCACCACCAUGAUGCUCUGUUUGCAAUGCAGCCAACUGAUCACAACCUCCUCUCCCUUCCCUGAGGAUUCGUGGCAGUUAUUGGCUGAUGGAGAGGGAGAAAUGUUUUCUUCAGUGGAGUAGCAACUGGUGAGUUCCCUAUGUCCCUGUGACUAACCCUUAGAACCAUAUUCCUGUAAGGAACUCCACAGAAGUUCAUUUGUUCACACAUGCCAACAGCAACAAUGAAAGCAACAGCAACCCUUCUCCAAAACCAAAACACCAAAACCCUGAGGGGAGAAGGAAGACGAGCUCAGAGGAGGAGGAUCAGUGGGCGUGAGGCAGGAACAAGAAGGUAAGGGGUGUGCAAAUGGUAUAAAAAUAUUGUGGUGGUAUUGUGUUCCCCAGAAUAUUGUGCACUCUAAUAAACUUAUCUGGAGUCAGAGAACAGAACAGCCACAGUAUUAAACAUAGAGGUUAGGCAGUGCUAGCACAUGCCUUUAAUCCUAGCAUUCCAGAGGCAGAGAUCUGCCUGGAUCUCUGUGAGUUCAAGGCCACACUGGAAACAGCCAAGCAUGGUGACUCAUGCCUUUAAUCCCAGGAAGUAAUGGCAGGAGGCAGAAAGGUACUUAAGGUGUGAGGACCAGGAACUAUAGCCUGGUUAAGCUUUUAGGCUUUUGAGCAGCAGUUCAGCUGAGACCCAUUUGGAUGAGGACACAGAGGCUUCCAGUCUGAGGAAACAGGAUCAUCUGAGGAACUGGCGAGGUGAGGUAGCUGUGGCUUAUUCUGUUUCUCUGAUCUUUCAGCGUUCACCCCAAUACCUGGCUUCAGGUUUGUU